GGUCUUAUAGUUGAAAUAAAUAACAACAUUAAACUGCAAAUUUAAAAGCGUAGACUUCUACUAAGACUU
rnacentral:tRNA from 1 species